rnacentral:rRNA from 1 species
GCCCUUACUCCUACGGGAGGCAGCAGUGGGGAAUCUUCCGCAAUGGGCGAAAGCCUGACGGAGCAACGCCGCGUGAGUGAAGAAGGUCUUCGGAUCGUAAAGCUCUGUUGUCGGGGACGAAUGUUGAGAUCUAGAAUAUAGAUUUCAAAUGACGGUACCUGACGAGGAAGCCACGGCUAACUACGUGCCAGCAGCCGCGGUAAUACGUAGGUGGCGAGCGUUGUCCGGAAUUAUUGGGCGUAAAGGGAGCGCAGGCGGGAAGGUAAGUCUAUCUUAAAAGUGCGGGGCUCAACCCCGUGAGGGGAUAGAAACUAUUUUUCUUGAGUGCAGGAGAGGAAAGCGGAAUUCCUAGUGUAGCGGUGAAAUGCGUAGAUAUUAGGAGGAACACCAGUGGCGAAGGCGGCUUUCUGGACUGUAACUGACGCUGAGGCUCGAAAGCCAGGGGAGCGAACGGGAUUAGAUACCCCGGUAGUCCUGGCCGUAAACGAUGAAUGCUAGGUGUAGGAGGUAUCGACCCCUCCUGUGCCGGAGUUAACGCAAUAAGCAUUCCNCCUGGGGAGUACGGCCGCNAGGCUGAAACUCNAAGGAAUUGACGGGGGCCC